CUGCCAAAUGGCUACUGUAGUUCAGAUUGUCCAGAAGGUGAGAUAUUGCCAUACUGGUGUUGGGGAAGUCAGUAUUGCUGCAUAUGGCCUUCCGAACAACAUGGUAUGGGAUAAAAUAUCAGGAAAAGUCUGAAGAGUCUGAAGAGUUCUGAAGAAGAUAUUGAAACAUGGUGGCUGGAAGGUGUGCAAGCAAUCUUGCUGAGAUACAAAUAUUUUGAUUGAAUGUAUAAUCUGGAAAAAGAUAACAGUUUAACAUGUUGAUCUGUAUAUUAAAGCUCUAUAAUAGCAA